GACUCUCGGCAACGGAUAUCUCGGCUCUCGCAUCGAUGAAGAACGCAGCAAAAUGCGAUACUUGGUGUGAAUUGCAGAAUCCCGUGAAUCAUCCAGUUUUUGAACGCAAGUUGCGCCCGAAGCCUUUCGGCCGAGGGCACGCCUGCCUGGGUGUCA
rnacentral:rRNA from 1 species